UUGGCAAGAUGAUCUAAUGUGCUUCUAUGAGGAAGAUGACGGCUUACUGUAUUGUUCUUGGUUAGCACUCCCCCAGACAUCUCUAUAUACAGUGGUUUUCGAAUGGGAUAGAGUUUGUGAAAAGAUGGAAACGACUGUAUCGUCUAUCAAAAGAAAUUGGCUGUAUUUGCAUUCACAAGAAAAUCUGACCGUAUUGGUUGCCAGCAAUUAUUCCCAGGAGAGCUGCAGGACAACAAAGAAAAUGUCAUUUAUACCCAGUAAAACAAAAAAGUGUUCUUCACCUUCUAUGAUAACAGCCUAUCAGUUGUUCAGUGAAUUAAUAAUUAUAUGGGACUCACCAGAAGAUAUGCUGCAAUAUGAAUUACAGUACAAGGAAGCAAAACUAGCAACCUCAA